GCAACUGGGUGUUCCCGCCGGUUUUGCCGCCGUGCGGGCAGCCCGAUGGUGUUUGGUCGUGUUCCUAUUGGGCUCGUCCUCCAUAAUGUUGCAAAACAAGAGUCAUGUGACUCGUCACGUGACUCCAUUGCAUAUUCCUUGCGUCUCGUGAAGAUCCUAGAGGUCGGUUAUCACGAGGAUAAACCAUGCAAAUGACAAUC
rnacentral:snoRNA from 1 species